AAAAUAUGAAAUAUAAAUUUUGGGGUUUUGGGUUUCGCUUUUCUUGACUCACCCUGUAUAUCUUUGGUACAGCUGCUGAGAAUUUUGAAAGUUAAUGGGCCACAGCCCCAUAUUGACUAAUACACCUUGUUUGCAAUACUUUGUGAAUUAUUCAUAUCUUUCCUGCCAGGGUUACGGGAAACUCCACCUACAUCUCUGAGAGUGUUGAAGGUCAGACGAGGGUGUUGUCACUCAUCAGUGGGCCACACCCUCUUAGUGUCAUCAAUAAUUUGAAUAUACCUGGUAUUGUGAUGCUAUAUGAAUAAUUCAUAUUUUUCUUCCAGUGUUGCUGGUCAAACUCUGCCUACAUCUUUGGUACAAUCGCUGAUACUGAUAGUUCUGAAGGUCAGACAAGAGUGUUGUCACUCAUCAAUGGGCCACACCCCCAUAAUGCCCUGGCUGAUUUGACCGACAGUAUUUUAUUGAUGAUUAGUGAAUAAUUCAUAUUUUUCUUCCAGUGUCGCUGGUCAAACUCUGCCUACAUCUUUGGUACAAUCACUGAUACUGAUAGGUCUGAAGGUCAGACAAGAGUGUUGUCACUCAUCAAUGGGCCACACCCCCAUAAUGCCCUGGCUGAUUUGACUAAUGGUAUUUUAUUGAUGAUUAAUGAA